rnacentral:rRNA from 1 species
AUGGGAAUACGGCAAAGCCAAGAUCCAUGUGUGGCGACUCCUGGCUUGGCUGCCGGAGCGGAGCUUCAAAGAAGAAAUAUGAAUGCAGGGAUACAAUGUGUCGUUUGUAACCGGGAAGAGACGACUCUUAACCGGUUCUGGAGGUGUCCGUUCGCCCAGGGUGGACGCGCCCGACUCGCCGUCGUGGCCGUGGCCGCGCCCGGCUCGCCGCGGUCAUGGACGAGCUUGAGCUGGCCGUUGUUAAGAAUCUUGCCGCGCCCGUCACCUCUUGGAGAGCUUCUGCGCCGGCCGCCUCCUCUUCGCUGGCUCCGCCCGCGCUCUCGUUGUCGUCGCCGGCGACAGCGGAAACGUCACGCCGCCCCGCCGGCUCCACCACCACGUCCACGCCGGCGUACCUCGCCUCCGCGUCCAUGCCAUCGUUCGCGCCUCCGCGUCUGCCUGUUGCGUUGUUUGAUGUGCUCAGAGCAUACCAAGCUCUGCGCUGAGCCACUAACGGUGCCAUGCGCGCAUAGCCAUUCUCUGGUCAAGCUCAUGAUCUGCAUGUGCAUCGACUACACGAAGGCAUUUUCACACUUCCAACCAGUUCGAUCUUCAAUUUGUAGGCAAGAAAAACCGUUGAGAGUCGAGAUGAGCAGAGACUCCGCGCUGCCGUUCCCGCCGCCGGGGCAGGCCAGCUUCGGGAUGGUGUGCGCGAAGCCGAUGACGGCCUUGACCCGCAUGCCGCCUGCGCUGGCGCGCGCGACGGCCGCGACCACGUCCGCUCGGACGCCCGGGUACGCGACGGCCGCCACGGGGCAAUCCGCGCGGUCGCUCGACCAGGUGCCCGGCCGCGUCCACUCUGGCCGCAGGCUCCGCUGCAUCGGGUCGCCUCGCCUCGCCGCUCCGCCGGGUCACCUUGCCGCUGCUCCGCAUCCGACAUCGCGGCACCGGCCGGUCGCGGUAGUAGAGCACCGCGCGGAACCGGCGAAGGCUUGGUCGAGGCCAGCGCCGUCGCCGUCGCCGCCGCCAAGCCGAGGGGCCGCUUCGACCACGACCUGCAGCGGGUAA